rnacentral:rRNA from 1 species
UACGGGGGGGGCAAGCGUUGUUCGGAAUUACUGGGCGUAAAGGGCUCGUAGGCGGCCAACUAAGUCGGACGUGAAAGCCCUCGGCUUAACCGAGGAACUGCGUCCGAUACUGGAUGGCUUGAGGUUGGGAGAGGGAUGCGGAAUUCCAGGUGUAGCGGUGAAAUUCGUAGAUAUUGGGAGGAACACCGGUGGCGAAGGCGGCCAUCUGGGAAGGUACUGACGCUGAGACGCGAAAGCGUGGGGAGCAAACAGG